AAAAAGGAUCCCCCGGAAGCAAUCCUCCUUCACCAAUCAAGUGAAGUGUGAGUCAACGGAAACCGAUCCACAUUUCUUGAGGUGACAUGCGGAAUUGCUGUCAUUGGACAAUGAACUUGUGGUUGGACACGCACACAAGGUACGCGAGGCCCCCAGGAUCCGAGGAUUCAAAGAGGAGGGAGAGGCAGGCGGGAAAGAGCCUUUCCGAUCGGGCGGCCUUUCUUUCUCUUCUGGGACGAGAACAGCUCCUCUUCCUUCACGGGGAGAACCGUCCAGUACGUAGACGGAGAGUAAUUUAUUAAAGGGGGACCACUCUGGUAUGAGGACCAGAACCUGGCGAUGACGAACGGUUUUAUUAGUUGGCCAAAGGUCGAUGGCGGAUUAGUCAAGUCUGGCCUAGAGCGGCAAAUUCAAAAGUACAGGAUGAGCAAAUAUUCCAUAAAGCAUGGCACAGCUGUAAGGCCAACA